UACGUAGGGGGCAAGCGUUGUCCGGAAUCAUUGGGCGUAAAGCGCGCGUAGGCGGCCCGGUAAGUCCGUUGUGAAAGUCAGAGGCUCAACCUCUGGAGGCCAAUGGAUACUGCCAGGCUAGAGUCCGGAAGAGGCGAGUGGAAUUCCUGGUGUAGCGGUGGAAUGCGCAGAUAUCAGGAGGAACACCAAUUGCGAAGGCAGCUCGCUGGGACGGUACUGACGCUGAGGUGCGAAAGCGUGGGGAGCGAACAGG
rnacentral:rRNA from 1 species